GACGAAUGCUGGCUGCGUGCUUAACACAUGCAAGUCGAACGGUGAAAGGGAGCUUGCUCCCUGGAUCAGUGGCGAACGGGUGAGUAACACGUGGGCAACCUGCCCCUCACUCUGGGAUAACUCCGGGAAACCGGGGCUAAUACCGGAUACGACCUGGUGCGACAUCGCACCGGGUGGAAAGAACUUCGGUGAGGGAUGGGCCCGCGGCCUAUCAGCUUGUUGGUGGGGUAACGGCCCACCAAGGCGACGACGGGUAGCCGGCCUGAGAGGGCGACCGGCCACACUGGGACUGAGACACGGCCCAGACUCCUACGGGAGGCAGCAGUGGGGAAUAUUGCGCAAUGGGCGAAAGCCUGACGCAGCGACGCAGCGUGAGGGACGAAGGCCUUCGGGUUGUAAACCUCUUUCAGCGGGGACGAAGCGAAAGUGACGGUACCCGCAGAAGAAGCACCGGCUAACUACGCGCCAGCCGCCGCGGUAACAC
rnacentral:rRNA from 1 species